UGCGCAGGCGGACUUUUAAGUCAGUGGUGAAAUCCCGAGGCUCAACCUCGGAACUGCCAUUGAUACUGGAAGUCUUGAAUUUGGUUGAAGUGGGCGGAAUGUAGCAUGUAGCGGUGAAAUGCUUAGAUAUGCUACAGAACACCGAUCGCGAAGGCAGCUCACUAAACCAAUAUUGACGCUCAGGCACGAAAGCGUGGGGAGCAAACAGGAUUAGAUACCCUGGUAGUCC
rnacentral:rRNA from 1 species